CGCACGGGUGAGUAACACGUAUGCAACCUGCCUGCCACAGCCGGAUAAUCGGGAGAAAUUCCGUCUAAUACGGCAUAAUGCAUCGACGGGACAUCCUGUUGGUGCCAAAGGUUAAUUCCGGUGGCGGAUGGGCAUGCGUCGCAUUAGUUAGUUGGCGGUGUAACGGACCACCAAGACGACGAUGCGUAGGGGUUCUGAGAGGAAGGUCCCCCACACUGGUACUGAGACACGGACCAGACUCCUACGGAAGGCAGCAG
rnacentral:rRNA from 1 species